AAGAUGACACAUAACAUUAGU
rnacentral:misc_RNA from 1 species